UCCCCUGGUGGUCUCUGGCCAUCUCUAAAUAGUACAUAGAUUAGCAAGGCUCCUGCAGAAGGAUGAUACCCAAAUUUGUGAAGUGUUCCAUAUGAAA
rnacentral:snRNA from 1 species